rnacentral:rRNA from 1 species
GACGAACGCUGGCGGCGUGCUUAACACAUGCAAGUCGAACGGAAAGGCCCUGCUUUUGUGGGGUGCUCGAGUGGCGAACGGGUGAGUAACACGUGAGUAACCUGCCCUUGACUUUGGGAUAACUUCAGGAAACUGGGGCUAAUACCGGCUCGGAGCUCCUGCUGCAUGGUGGGGGUUGGAAAGUUUCGGCGGUUGGGGAUGGACUCGCGGCUUAUCAGCUUGUUGGUGGGGUAGUGGCUUACCAAGGCUUUGACGGGUAGCCGGCCUGAGAGGGUGACCGGCCACAAUGGGACUGCGAUACGGACCAGACUGCAACGGGAGGCAGCAGUGGGGAGUAUUGCACAAUGGGCGGAAGCCUGAUGAAGCAACGCCGCGUGCGGGAUGACGGCCUUCGGGUUGUAAACCGCUUUCGCCUGUGACGAAGCGUGAGUGACGGUAAUGGGUAAAGAAGCACCGGCUAACUACGUG